AGAGUUUGAUCCUGGCUCAGAGCGAACGCUGGCGGCAGGCCUAAUACAUGCAAGUCGAGCGCCCUUCGGGGGAGCGGCGGACGGGUGAGUAACGCGUGGGAACGUGCCCUUUGGUUCGGAACAACACAGGGAAACUUGUGCUAAUACCGAAUGUGCCCUUCGGGGGAAAGAUUUAUCGCCAUUGGAGCGGCCCGCGUUGGAUUAGGUAGUUGGUGAGGUAAAGGCUCACCAAGCCUACGAUCCAUAGCUGGUCUGAGAGGAUGAUCAGCCACACUGGGACUGAGACACGGCCCAGACUCCUACGGGAGGCAGCAGUAGGGAAUCUUGCGCAAUGGGCGAAAGCCUGACGCAGCCAUGCCGCGUGAAUGAUGAAGGUCUUAGGAUUGUAAAAUUCUUUCACCGGGGAAGAUAAUGACGGUACCCGGAGAAGAAGCCCCGGCUAACUUCGUGCCAGCAGCCGCGGUAAUACGAAGGGGGCUAGCGUUGCUCGGAAUUACUGGGCGUAAAGGGCGCGUAGGCGGACAUUUAAGUUAGAGGUGAAAGCCCAGGGCUCAACCCUGGAAUAGCCUUUAAUACUGGAUGUCUUGAGUUCGGGAGAGGUGAGUGGAACUCCGAGUGUAGAGGUGAAAUUCGUAGAUAUUCGGAAGAACACCAGUGGCGAAGGCGACUCACUGGCCCGAUACUGACGCUGAGGCGCGAAAGCGUGGGGAUCAAACAGGAUUAGAUACCCUAGUAGUCC
rnacentral:rRNA from 1 species